rnacentral:rRNA from 1 species
AGCGUACACGGUGGAUGCCCUGGCAGUCAGAGGCGAUGAAGGACGUGCUAAUCUGCGAUAAGCGUCGGUAAGGUGAUAUGAACCGUUAUAACCGGCGAUUUCCGAAUGGGGAAACCCAGUGUGAUUCGUCACACUAUCAUUAACUGAAUCCAUAGGUUAAUGAGGCGAACCGGGGGAACUGAAACAUCUAAGUACCCCGAGGAAAAGAAAUCAACCGAGAUUCCCCCAGUAGCGGCGAGCGAACGGGGAGCAGCCCAGAGCCUGAAUCAGUGUGUGUGUUAGUGGAAGCGUCUGGAAAGGCGCGCGAUACAGGGUGACAGCCCCGUACACAAAAAUGCACAUACUGUGAGCUCGAUGAGUAGGGCGGGACACGUGGUAUCCUGUCUGAAUAUGGGGGGACCAUCCUCCAAGGCUAAAUACUCCUGACUGACCGAUAGUGAACCAGUACCGUGAGGGAAAGGCGAAAAGAACCCCGGCGAGGGGAGUGAAAAAGAACCUGAAACCGUGUACGUACAAGCAGUGGGAGCACAGAGCAAUCUGUGUGACUGCGUACCUUUUGUAUAAUGGGUCAGCGACUUAUAUUCUGUAGCAAGGUUAACCGAAUAGGGGAGCCGAAGGGAAACCGAGUCUUAACUGGGCGUUAAGUUGCAGGGUAUAGACCCGAAACCCGGUGAUCUAGCCAUGGGCAGGUUGAAGGUUGGGUAACACUAACUGGAGGACCGAACCGACUAAUGUUGAAAAAUUAGCGGAUGACUUGUGGCUGGGGGUGAAAGGCCAAUCAAACCGGGAGAUAGCUGGUUCUCCCCGAAAGCUAUUUAGGUAGCGCCUCGUGAAUUCAUCUCCGGGGGUAGAGCACUGUUUCGGCAAGGGGGUCAUCCCGACUUACCAACCCGAUGCAAACUGCGAAUACCGGAGAAUGUUAUCACGGGAGACACACGGCGGGUGCUAACGUCCGUCGUGAAGAGGGAAACAACCCAGACCGCCAGCUAAGGUCCCAAAGUCAUGGUUAAGUGGGAAACGAUGUGGGAAGGCCCAGACAGCCAGGAUGUUGGCUUAGAAGCAGCCAUCAUUUAAAGAAAGCGUAAUAGCUCACUGGUCGAGUCGGCCUGCGCGGAAGAUGUAACGGGGCUAAACCAUGCACCGAAGCUGCGGCAGCGACGCUUAUGCGUUGUUGGGUAGGGGAGCGUUCUGUAAGCCUGCGAAGGUGUGCUGUGAGGCAUGCUGGAGGUAUCAGAAGUGCGAAUGCUGACAUAAGUAACGAUAAAGCGGGUGAAAAGCCCGCUCGCCGGAAGACCAAGGGUUCCUGUCCAACGUUAAUCGGGGCAGGGUGAGUCGACCCCUAAGGCGAGGCCGAAAGGCGUAGUCGAUGGGAAACAGGUUAAUAUUCCUGUACUUGGUGUUACUGCGAAGGGGGGACGGAGAAGGCUAUGUUGGCCGGGCGACGGUUGUCCCGGUUUAAGCGUGUAGGCUGGUUUUCCAGGCAAAUCCGGAAAAUCAAGGCUGAGGCGUGAUGACGAGGCACUACGGUGCUGAAGCAACAAAUGCCCUGCUUCCAGGAAAAGCCUCUAAGCAUCAGGUAACAUCAAAUCGUACCCCAAACCGACACAGGUGGUCAGGUAGAGAAUACCAAGGCGCUUGAGAGAACUCGGGUGAAGGAACUAGGCAAAAUGGUGCCGUAACUUCGGGAGAAGGCACGCUGAUAUGUAGGUGAAGUCCCUCGCGGAUGGAGCUGAAAUCAGUCGAAGAUACCAGCUGGCUGCAACUGUUUAUUAAAAACACAGCACUGUGCAAACACGAAAGUGGACGUAUACGGUGUGACGCCUGCCCGGUGCCGGAAGGUUAAUUGAUGGGGUCAGCGCAAGCGAAGCUCUUGAUCGAAGCCCCGGUAAACGGCGGCCGUAACUAUAACGGUCCUAAGGUAGCGAAAUUCCUUGUCGGGUAAGUUCCGACCUGCACGAAUGGCGUAAUGAUGGCCAGGCUGUCUCCACCCGAGACUCAGUGAAAUUGAACUCGCUGUGAAGAUGCAGUGUACCCGCGGCAAGACGGAAAGACCCCGUGAACCUUUACUAUAGCUUGACACUGAACAUUGAGCCUUGAUGUGUAGGAUAGGUGGGAGGCUUUGAAGUGUGGACGCCAGUCUGCAUGGAGCCGACCUUGAAAUACCACCCUUUAAUGUUUGAUGUUCUAACGUUGACCCGUAAUCCGGGUUGCGGACAGUGUCUGGUGGGUAGUUUGACUGGGGCGGUCUCCUCCUAAAGAGUAACGGAGGAGCACGAAGGUUGGCUAAUCCUGGUCGGACAUCAGGAGGUUAGUGCAAUGGCAUAAGCCAGCUUGACUGCGAGCGUGACGGCGCGAGCAGGUGCGAAAGCAGGUCAUAGUGAUCCGGUGGUUCUGAAUGGAAGGGCCAUCGCUCAACGGAUAAAAGGUACUCCGGGGAUAACAGGCUGAUACCGCCCAAGAGUUCAUAUCGACGGCGGUGUUUGGCACCUCGAUGUCGGCUCAUCACAUCCUGGGGCUGAAGUAGGUCCCAAGGGUAUGGCUGUUCGCCAUUUAAAGUGGUACGCGAGCUGGGUUUAGAACGUCGUGAGACAGUUCGGUCCCUAUCUGCCGUGGGCGCUGGAGAACUGAGGGGGGCUGCUCCUAGUACGAGAGGACCGGAGUGGACGCAUCACUGGUGUUCGGGUUGUCAUGCCAAUGGCACUGCCCGGUAGCUAAAUGCGGAAGAGAUAAGUGCUGAAAGCAUCUAAGCACGAAACUUGCCCCGAGAUGAGUUCUCCCUGACUCCUUGA